rnacentral:ribozyme from 1 species
UGGAAACGAGGCUGGGAAAGUGUCACAGGGAGAAAAAAGCGUAUGUAUUGGGUUUCAGGCAGGGGUGAGUGGUUGUGGCAAAGGCACUGUUAUUUUGGGUAACGGUAGCACUUCUUCAGCAAACUCU